UUACUAAAUUUUAGGUACCAUGAAGAGAAUUAUGUAAUAAAGAUUGUCGUCAAUGAAUCGUUACUUAACAAAAAUCAUGGUUUAUACCCAACAGCUUAUAAAUUAUUCUUCUCGGGUUACCGAACGCGGGAAAAAGUUCGUGCGUCAUUAGAGUAAAGAAAGGCCUUAAAAAAACGCUCUCGAAAGUAACACCGUGAGUGAUGAAAAUAAUGAAAUUGAAAAUAAAAUAAAAAUAAAUAUGACAGAAUUAAUGAUUGUGAAAAGAGAAUCAUUAGUUGUUGGAUUAAAUGAAUCCUUCAGCUACUUCUUCUGAGUCAUGGUCGGAUUAAUGAUGGAGAAGAUGACCUCUGUAAUUGUUAUACAAUAUUUCCAUACCUCAAUUUUUGGAGGUUAUUGACUUUGUGAUACUCAUUAUCAAGAAGCCGUUGGAUCAAGAAGGUAUUCCACCGUAAAAAAAUUCAAAAUAUUUACAAAAAUAAUAAGCUUCAAUAUUCUCAUCAAAUUUCCAACCAACAAAGAAAGAUUGAAAGUAUUUGAACUCAACAAAAAUCAUGAUGGCUGUCUAAUGUUUUUUGUUGUUGAUAAAAGAUCUAGAAGAAUAAGUCAAGAUUGACUGCCCACGAGAAUUACUACUUCCGAUGCCAGCGAAAUUAUAUCUUGACGUCAGUUGUUCGAUGCGAGAGUGAACUUUCUUCUUUACUUGUGUUUGGUUCUUCAGCUGAUGCCAACCUUGACAUCGUAACUGAAUCAAGACAAUUCAAAAAAACCGUUGAGAAUAAAAAAUUUCUAAAUGAACAAUUUUUUUUUUUUUAGUUCAAGUGUAAUGACUUUUUAAUUAUCACCACUUUUAUUUCUUUAUUCAAUGACGUGAAUGGAUCUUGUAAUCGUAUUAAGCAAUAGAAAGGGCGAAAAAUAGAAAUACAAAUUUCUAGUGGUAGAUAAAGGAUCGCUGGCUGAUAUUACACAGAGCAGACUGUACCAUACAUGUAUCCGGGAGAAAGUGUUCUUAAAGAUGUUCGGUUUACCAAAACCAUCAUAAAAAUAUGUAUUAAGAGUUUGACCUUUGCUGGAACGCCACUGGAUUACCUAACAGGGGAUUUCCUAGCUGUUGCAAGUGGGGAAUUCUACAUUUCAGAUUUUAUAAAAGACUGACUUGACCUGAUUUAGGUAAGUACGAAGAAAUAAUAAGCCUCUUAUAUU